UCUUUUCGGAUCAGUUUUUGGAAUUUUCUAUUCAGUAUUUGUAUUUAGUUUUAUAUUAGGUUUAAGCAAAAAGUGAUCGAAUAUGGGCAACAAAUUUAUAGAACACAUUUUAUAUUUAAUAUUAAGAACACGUGAAAAAGAUUCACUCAAUGCUGCUGCAUCUUAUGCCUAGAACGCGAAAUCGAAGAGAAUUAAGAAAAACCAUAACUCCCUCCCAUUUACACUUUUAUACACACUUUUAACACUUUUAACACUGUUAACACUUUUAACACUUUCAACACUUUCAACACAUGUAAGAGCUGGUGUAACUAACGUAACUAAGGAUUUAUGGCUUGCUGCCUGAUCACAUAAGAAGACAUGAAAUAUAAAUUCGCAGUUAAAAUUUUUGGAAAAGCAAAGUACUUUGGCAGUGCAAUGGUAUAAACUCUCCAUUGAUCAAGAAAUAUGAAGCAUAUGACUCCUUCCAUAUUCGGGAGGUAAAUUAGAGCUGCGCAGCCUCGACCACAUAUCAGGACAUUCCAUUCCAUGGGGGCCACAUCAAAAUUCAUGGAAAAGCAAUGUACUUUGGCAGUCCAAUAAUAUAAACUCUCCAUUGAUAAAGAAAUAUGGAGAAGCAUGAUCUUUGCCAUAAUCGGGAGCUGCGCAAUCGGAGAUCCACAACCGCGACCACCUAUCAGGCCAGUCCAUUCCAUUGGACAACGUCUUUGCUUUUCGUAUCCUAUUCGUACCUAUUUGAAAGAAACAAAAAUACACUUGCCAAAGAAGCAAA
ensembl:ncRNA lncRNA:CR43279 long non-coding RNA:CR43279